rnacentral:rRNA from 1 species
GAUGAACGCUGGCGGCGUGCUUAACACAUGCAGGUCGAACGAAGCAUUUAGAACGGAUUACUUCGGUUUGAAGUUCUUUAUGACUGAGUGGCGGACGGGUGAGUAACGCGUGGGUAACCUGCCUUGUACUGGGGGAUAGCAGCUGGAAACGGCUGGUAAUACCGCAUAAGCGCACAAUGUUGCAUGACAUGGUGUGAAAAACUCCGGUGGUAUAAGAUGGACCCGCGUCUGAUUAGCUAGUUGGUGAGAUAACAGCCCACCAAGGCGACGAUCAGUAGCCGACCUGGGAGGGUGACCGGCCACAUUGGGACUGAGACACGGCCCAGACUCCUACGGGAGGCAGCAGUGGGGAAUAUUGCCCAAUGGAGGAAACUCUGAUGCAGCGACGCCGCGUGAGUGAAGAAGUAAUUCGUUAUGUAAAGCUCUAUCAGCAGGGAAGAUAGUGACGGUACUUGAGGAGGAAGCCCCGGCUAACUACGUGCCAGCAGCCGCGGUAACAC